GACUGGCUGGUCUAACGGAAUGACACUCCAUUUUCGCUCCUUUGGAGCAUCAGACCCGGAGUAGUGUGGGUUCGAAUCCUGCGCUGGUCG